GCGGGGAUAGCUCAGCUGGGAGAGCAUCAGACUGAAGAUCUGAAGGUCGCGUGUUUGAUCCAUGCUCACCGCA
rnacentral:tRNA from 1 species